GGGGAUGUUUUGGGAUUCGACAGGCGCAGACCCGCGCUGGUUGCGAUUCGUAGGUUACGUCUACGUUAAAACGUUAAACAGUUUAAAUUAACUGCAAACGAAAACUCAUACGCUGUAGCUGCUUAGUUCAGCCCAGCUGCCAAUAGACUGCCUGCCCGUGGCGGUCUUGCGGUAUCAACAUUACGGGAUACGCUUGCCUAUCACACCUGAAUAAGCGAGAAGAGACUAACAGGUUAGCCGUGGCUGUUUGGCCCUGUCAUAUGGCGUUUUGCCCCGGUGAAGUUUAAAUAAUAUGACUAUGAUCGUAGAGAUUAGUGACGGGAUGCGUUUGGACAGGGGUUCAAUUCCCCUCAUCUCCAUCU
rnacentral:tmRNA from 25 species